CCUACAGACUGGCAUAUACCAACUCAAAUCAAAACCUGCCAGAACAACAGAUGUAAAAUCUGAAGACAUAUCUCCAUUGCUACGAUGAUCACUACUUCAAAAUACCACCUUUUAAGAUUCAUGGGUCCUACAUAUGCCUAUCACAACAUGUGGUGUAGCUCACCCAGUGCAUCAAAUGCCCUAGCCACAACUAUAUGGUUGAAACCAGACAAGCACUAUGCUUUUGAAUGAAUUCACACAGAAAAAUUAUAAAAAACAAAAACAUCUUGUCACCUAUGGGUGACACUUUUCACUAAGUGAUCACUGUAUAUCUGGCCUCUCAGUCCUCAUCCUCAAAGGAAACCUGCACAACAUCUUUGAAAGGUGAGCCUGGAAACUUAAAUUCGUAAGUCUGCUGGAUGCUAAACACCGUGGACUUAGCAGAGAGACUGGUUUUAUGGCUCAUUACAACAACUUGUAAUACAUCUUACUGCCUACUAACCCUUCAUAGUCCUAUGACUUCAAAGGUAUUAAUUGGCCACUUCAUUCUAAGUGAUCUCCUUCAACAUGUAUGAACUUAUGGUUAACAAUCUGUCCUACCUUGUAUUUAGCUUGGACACUCUUGUUUUCUUCUCCAGAUCUGAAGAAGAGCUCACUGAAUCAUCUCAAAAGCUUAUCCCUUCCUCCAAAAGAAGUUGGUUCAAUGAAAGAUAUGACCUCAUCCACCUUGUCUCUCUCAUGUGCAUAGUUAUUCAGAUCAAAAUGUGACACCUUCUCGCAGAUUAGAGUGGCAAAUUUAAGCAAAUAGAAGAUGUGAUUUGGAGUUUUCUGUGUUUCCUACAACCGAAAGGGCUACACUUCUUCCUUUAAAU